rnacentral:lncRNA from 1 species
CUCAGAUAAACAGCAGCAGUGCGUAUGUUCUGUAAAUAGCCACAAGUGAGACCUGAAAUCAGCCUCUUUCAUCUGAAUCCAGGGGCAGCAAGCUGAGGGGUCUUUGGGCUGCUGGGCUGAUUCUAUAAGAACCCCUCUGGCUCGGAGCUGCAGGAGUCCCUCCCAUUUAUAUUGGUGUUCCUCUUUUACCAUUUUGGCUUCUUGCUCAUACCUAUUUUCUCUUAGUUCCAAUCUCAGCGAAUGGAAUAGAUUCUACAAAGUCAAGCAGAAUAUUCCCUCUUGUCUGGCUUCUCACAAGUAUGCUAAGCCCUCUAGCUCUCCUGUAUGCAAGCUCCACUGGCC